rnacentral:rRNA from 1 species
UACGUAGGGGGCGAGCGUUGUCCGGAUUUAUUGGGCGUAAAACGCUUGUAGGUGGCCACGUCAAGUCGGAUGUGAAAUCUCCCGGCUCAACUGGGAGGGGUCAUUCGAUACUGGCGGGCUCGAGGCCGGUAGGGGGAAGCGGAAUUCCCGGUGUAGUGGUGGAAUGCGUAGAUAUCGGGAGGAACACCAGUGGCGAAGGCGGCUUCCUGGACCGGUUCUGACACUGAGGAGCGAAAGCGUGGGGAGCGAACAGG